GAUGAACGCUAGCGGCAGGCCUAAUACAUGCAAGUCGAACGGUGUCUUCGGACAUAGUGGCGCACGGGUGCGUAACACGUAUGCAACCUACCUUACAUUGGGGGAUAGCCUUUCGAAAGGGAGAUUAAUACCGCAUAAGACAGUAGCUGGGCAUCCAGCAGCUGUUAAAGAUUUAUCGAUGUAAGCUGGGCAUGCGUCCAAUUAGCUAGUUGGUGAGGUAACGGCUCACCAAGGCAAUGAUUGGUAGGGGAACUGAGAGGUCAAUCCCCCACACUGGCACUGAGAUACGGGCCAGACUCCUACGGGAGGCAGCAGUAGGGAAUUUUGGACAAUGGGCGAAAGCCUGAUCCAGCCAUUCCGCGUGCAGGAUGAAGGCCCUCGGGUUGUAAACUGCUUUUGUACGGAACGAAAAGCCUUCUUCUAACACAGGAGGGUCAUGACGGUACCGUAAGAAUAAGCACCGGCUAACUACGUGCCAGCCGCCGCUGUAACAC
rnacentral:rRNA from 1 species